rnacentral:tRNA from 1 species
GGGAAUGUAGUUAAAAAUAACAUUUAAUUUGCAAUUAAAAAGUACUUAAAUUAGUCUUUCUCA